rnacentral:ncRNA from 2 species
CGCUCAUCCAGAGGGGCAGAGGGAACGGCCCGUUGAAGCCCCGGCAACCCUCCCGCCGACCGCGAGGUCACACGGUGGGGAAGGUGCCAAUUCCGUCUCGUGGCGACGUACGUCACGAGGAAGAUGAGGA